GCUUAAUAGUAUUUAUCUUGAAUCAGUUUGUUAAUCUACAUUAUAUGGGUAUGAUAGUUUUACAUCUUCUACUAGAUCAAGUUAAAUAUAGCUAUCCUUUUCUAGAUGUAAUGUGAAAGUGUAUCUUAUAGUAUUUUUCAUUCUUAGGUGGAUCUUGAUAAAACUGCCUGGUUUUGUGGUUUGCACGAGACGGUUGACACAAUGAUCUGAAGUUCAAACUGCCAUUUUUACUGUCCGCUGCGAGAUCUUGGCUGGAAUGUAAAAGGAAUGUCCAAAAUAUUUAAAUGACAAACAGGAUGGAAACUGAUAAUGAGGAAUCAUACUAGCCAAGAUUGAUACCUCUCCACAAAUUAACAAAGACAUCAAUGAAGCUUUGCUAAAGCUAGUGACAAUUUACAUGUUUUCUUAUGUGGCUUAAUUAUAAUAAUGUCAAGAAAGCUAAUUAAAUAAGAACUAUACAUUU